GCUGAACUUAAGCAUAUCAAUAA
rnacentral:ncRNA from 4 species